rnacentral:SRP_RNA from 1 species
GCUGGGCACGGUGGCGUGUGCCUGUAGUCCCAGCUACUCGGGAGGCUGAGGUGGGAAGGUUGCUUGAGCCCGGGAGUUCUGGGUUGUAGUGCACUAUGCUGAUCAGGUGUCCACACUAAGUUUGGCAUCAAUAUGUGACCUCCCGGGAGCGGAGGACCACCAGGUUGCCUAAGGAGGAGUGAACCGGCCCAGGUCAGAAAUGGAGCAGGUCAAAACUUCCAUGCUGAUCAAUAGUGGGAUCGUGCCUGUGAAUAGCCACUGCACUCCAGCCUGGGCAACAUAGUGAGACCACGUCUCU